UAUUAAUGAUAACUGGGUUUUCUCAUUUUAGGGCUCAAAAGAGAGCUUGUAUCCUUUUGAAAUUAGUACAGUUUAGAGCAUGAUUUCAGUGCUAAUAUCUAGAAAGAAGAGUUUCAAAGCCAGAUCAACUUCCUAAGUCCUUAAAAAAAAUCUCAUUGCACAACAAAACUACUGAAGGCUCUAAGGUGUUUAAUCUUUUUAGAAAGCAUCAUUUUAAAAUUUGCUUCAGGUAGCAUAUUCCAGGUUUAUUUGCUCAUGCACUCUUUCUUUGAUGACAUCUACUAACAUAGAACAAUCAGAAAAAUUCCUUGGAACAUACAGAGCAUAUCUUUCCAAAUAUAGCAAAGGACACUUUACUUUUCUCAGACAGAUGGAGGCUGUCAUUUUAGUAGACAAAUACUGGUUUGGAUGCAUUAAGAAAAUAUAUGUCUCAUUUACAAUUUUAUGGAUUUUGUUGCUUGGGAUAGACCCAAUAUAUGUCAAAAAGAACAGAAUUCUAAAAUGUAAAGUAAAUGCCAUUAGAAAUAAUAUGUAAAGGUGACAAGAGCAUAAAGGUGGUAGGGGAAUGUCCAAAGGUUAGGUAAUGCUUGCUAGCUUUAAGUAGAACUGCAAACUUGUGUGCUAAUCCAGGAGGUACAUCACUUUGAAUCUGUAUACUCAGAUCCGAUCCAGUUAUCAGGAACCUAAAGCCAGGGUAAUUACUUAGUUCUCUAGAUCUGCCUUAAAAUAAUCCUCUGAGUUGGGGUCUUGGUCUCCUUUUCUGCUCAUAAAUACAGGUAAUGCAGUAGUCAGCAUGUAUACAGCUGCACCUAUCUGCACCAGGAGAACAGUGCCCAUACACAGACCCAGCACAUAUUAGUGAGACUGGGCUGUCACAUUCUAGGUUGGCUCUGGCUGGAGCAUGAGGCAGAGCUCUAAAUUAUUUGGGGGUCCCCAGGGAAAUGGUUAUUCUUUAGGUCUAUUUUCUCAAAGUUGCUGAGCAGUGUUCUUGAUCUGAGCUCCUUCCUAGAGUGUAGCAUCUUGCAUAGUUCUGUCUACAGAGGAUGUCCUAACGGAUGACCGAAUGACUGGACAGCUCGCAUAUUUCCUGCCAAAGGCCUAGAUGUUCUCAAGAACUGAACAGCAGGACGUUGAUACCGAAUUCCAUAACGACUGCACCAGUUUGCACAGCCACCAAAGAAAACUGGAAAAUGACAUAUGCUUAUAAUUUAGAGGCCAACUGACUGUGGGGACCCAACCCCAAAAGAUACAUCUACAGAUGAACCCAAGGCUCACAACCUUUUGGAAGAAGGGGCACCAACACUGAAGAAUCAGGCAACCAGGAAGUCUGCUGUGAGAUUGUUUCUCUAAGGAAUAACAGGAAAGCAGCAUCAACCAAAUAUCAACUAUAUGGAUGGCUAACAAAACUAGAACAGAGACAAUUUCAACAAACAUGGCAUGUCGGCAUGUGCCUGUUACUCCCACACACACAGAACUUGUGUGGGAAGAUUUCAAGUUCAAGACUAGCCUAAGUUAUGUAUAAGGCUAUAUCUAUGAAGAACACAUCAAAAGAAAAAUAGAAAUAAGAGAAAUGCUCCACUCUGAUUAUUUAUGAUAAAGAAGGCUGCACAUAGGUGAGUAGAGGAAGAAGAAUGUGGAAACUUUUUUGUUCAAAUUUGCUGUGAACCCAAUACUCUUCCAAAAAACUAAAGUCUAUUUCAAAAAAUAUCCAUUGACCUCUUAGAGGAACACUCAGAUUUGGUGAGCACUGGUUUCUGUAAUCAUCCACCCGAGCAGAACUACACACAGCUGCAGCACCAUUAUUAAAAUUAUUGCCUUUUCCUGUCCCAGCUAUGGAAGCUCACUACCUCACAGAGCCAUUUCCAUUGUUGGGCAGCACCAGGAUUCCAGAGCUCUUCUUUGUGUGAAACUGACGUCAGCCUCAUUGUGACUUCCAAUCACUGUGCGUCAUUCUUCCUGUUGGAACUACGCAGAAUAAAUCUAAUUUCUUAGCCACAUGAAGUUCAUUUAUAUAUUGGGAGGCAGAGUUCAUAUUCUCCCUGACUCUAGUUCAUUCCAAGUUUUCUUUUUCCAAGGCUGAAGAUUCUUUGUAUUUUCAGUGGUUCUUCCUCUAAUGCAAUUUCCAGACAAUUACUACCCUGAUUAAUAUGUCUACUCUUCUUAAUAUGUCAGUUUCUGAAAGUAUUCACAUCCCAUUGGGCACGUGCAGUAACUAUCUAGAAUGAAGACCUUCCUGUCUCCAUUAACCUUCCGUUAACUCUGGUUGCUGUGCUUGGCCUGCUGGUGUGUACUUGCUGAGUAUUAGCCUAAAUAAUCUUCCUUAUGGAAUGUUAUUACCAGCAAUGAACAUGAGGCUUUUCAUGUGGUAUGAAUUAGAGUUGAGUGGAUUUUUGCCAGCCUUCAGCCACCUACAACACAGAGUAAGUUGUAUGUCUGACAGUAAGAC